GGCUUCAGGUCGGGGACAACCACUGGAAACGGUGGCUAAUACCGGAUAUGCCGGAAGGUGAAAGAUUAAUUGCCUGAAGAUGAGCUCGCGACUGAUUAGCUAGUAGGUGUGGUAAGAGCGCACCUAGGCGACGAUCAGUAGCUGGUCUGAGAGGAUGAUCAGCCACACUGGGACUGAGACACGGCCCAGACUCCUACGGGAGGCAGCAGUGGGGAAUUUUCCGCAAUGGGCGAAAGCCUGACGGAGCAAUACCGCGUGAGGGAGGAAGGCUCUUGGGUUGUAAACCUCUUUUCUCAAGGAAUAAGAAAUGAAGGUACUUGAGGAAUAAGCAUCGGCUAACUCCGUGCCAGCAGCCGCGGUAAUACGGAGGAUGCAAGCGUUAUCCGGAAUGAUUGGGCGUAAAGAGUCCGUAGGUGGCGAUUCAAGUCUGCUGUCAAAGCACAAGGCUCAACCUUGUAAAGGCAGUGGAAACUGAAUGGCUAGAGUGCGUUCGGGGCAGAAGGAAUUCCUGGUGUAGCGGUGAAAUGCGUAGAGAUCAGGAAGAACACCGGUGGCGAAAGCGUUCUGCUAGGCCGCAACUGACACUGAGGGACGAA
rnacentral:rRNA from 1 species